UUAUGAGGUGUUUAGCUUAUGAUAUGCCUAUGUGUUUUUCCAAACUUGUAGUAGCUUUGAAAAACAGGAGCCUUGCAACCAGUGUAGCUUUGUAAAUCAGCAGCUUAGCAGACACUGAAAGAAAGUGAAUGGGAUUGAAGCUUUUCAAAAUGCCCAAUUUCCAGAGAACUGAUAUAAUUCGAUUAGCCUGACAAAUCUUGGAAAAGCCUUUUUCAUAGAAUUUGCUUUUAUUUGUCCUAACUCAGAGUUAACCAAGUGUGAAUAGCUCUAAUUCAUCCUUAGAGAUUCAUGAGACACCAUUAAACAUGUUAAUGCAUGCAUUGUUGGAGUUUGGGAAUUGAGGAGAGUUAAGAAAAAUAUUUGUAAAAAGAGUGGAAAAUUUUCCAAAUUUAUCUUCAUAUAAGAGGCUAAAUAAACUCUAAGUAGGAUGAACUCAAAAAGAUCCAGACCAAGAGACAUAGGCAAACUGUCAAAAGACAAAGAACUCUGAAAGCAGCCAGAGAAAAGCAGUUCAUCACAUGAAAGGGAUUCUUCACACAAUUAACAAGUAACUUCUGAUCAGUAACAACGGAGAUUAGAAGACAGUGAAAUGACAUUAUUCAAUUUUAAAAGAAAAAACAAUCAACUAAGUCUAUAAUCAGCAAAACUAUAUUUUAGAAACAAAGGAGAAAUAACGACAUUUCCAAAACUCACAAAAAAGUAGAGAAUUGGCCAAUAACAGAACUGACCUACAAGAAAUACUAAAGAGAGGCUUCAGGUUGAAUAAAAAGACACUAAACAGUAACUUGAAUUCACAAUACCAAAUAAAGAGGAACAGUGAAAAGAAGUCUAUACGUAUUCAUAAAAGGCAGUAAAAAUAUAUUUUGGGUUUUUCCUUUCAGUUUUCUCGAGAUAUAGCUGACAUAAAAAACUAUAUAAGUUUAAGGUGUACAGCAUAAUGAUUCAACUUACAUAUAUCAUAAAAUGAUUAACACAAUAAGUUUAGUAAACAUCAUCUCUUAUAGAUAGAAAAUUAAUAAAAUAGAAAUACUUUCCUUGUGAUCAGGAUUUACAUCCUUAGCAAUG
rnacentral:lncRNA from 1 species